rnacentral:rRNA from 1 species
CACCGGCAGCUCUAGUGGUAGCAAUUUUUAUUGGGCCUAAAGCGUCCGUAGCCGGUUUAAUAAGUCUCUGGUGAAAUCCUGCAGCUUAACUGUGGGAAUUGCUGGAGAUACUAUUAGACUUGAGACCGGGAGAGGUUAGAGGUACUCCCAGGGUAGAGGUGAAAUUCUGUAAUCCUGGGAGGACCGCCUGUUGCGAAGGCGUCUAACUGGAACGGUUCUGACGGUGAGGGACGAAAGUUAGGGGCGCGAACCGGAUUAGAUACCCGGGUAGUCCUAACCGUAAACGAUGCGGACUUGGUGUUGGGGUGGCUUUGAGCUGCUCCAGUGCCGAAGGGAAGCUGUUAAGUCCGCCGCCUGGGAAGUACGGUCGCAAGACUGAAACUUAA